UACGUAGGGGGCGAGCGUUGUCCGGAAUUAUUGGGCGUAAAGAGCUCGUAGGCGGUCUGUCGCGUCGAAUGUGAAAACCCGGGGCUCAACUCCGGGCUUGCAUUCGAUACGGGCAGGCUAGAGUUCGGUAGGGGAGUCUGGAAUUCCUGGUGUAGCGGUGAAAUGCGCAGAUAUCAGGAGGAACACCGGUGGCGAAGGCGGGUCUCUGGGCCGUAACUGACGCUGAGGAGCGAAAGCGUGGGGAGCGAACAGG
rnacentral:rRNA from 1 species